GACUAACGCUGGCGGCGUGCUUAACACAUGCAAGUCGAACGGAAAGGCCCUGCUUUUGUGGGGUGCUCGAGUGGCGAACGGGUGUGUAACACGUGAGUCACCUGCCCUUGACUUUGGGGUAACUUCAGGAAACUGGGGCUAAUACCGGAUAGGAGCUCCUGCUGCAUGGUGGGGGUUGGAAAGUUUCGGCGGUUGGGGAUGGACUCGCGGCUUAUUAGCUUGUUGCUGGGGUAGUGGCUUACCAAGGCUUUGACGGGUAGCCGGCCUGAGAGGGUGACCGGCCACAUUGGGACUGAGGUACGGCCCAGACUCCUACGGGAGGCAGCAGUGGGGAAUAUUGCACAAUGGGCGGAAGCCGGAUGCAGCAACGCCGCGUGCGGGAUGACGGCCUUCGGGUUGUAAACCGCGUUCGCCUGUGACGAAGCGUGAGUGACGGUAAUGGGUAAAGAAGCACCGGCUAACUACGUG
rnacentral:rRNA from 1 species